rnacentral:piRNA from 1 species
GAGGCGACUGCGGGCAGGUAAGAG